rnacentral:lncRNA from 1 species
AAUAGUAGAAUUUUAUAAAAAAAUUAAAUUUUAAUGUCAAAAUUCAAUCGAAUAAAAGUAAAGUUGUAAAAUUUAAAAUAAAUUUAAAAUAUAAUGGUAAAUUUAUCUUUAGCCUAGAAAUACAAUAUCAAAUGUCAAUUAAAUAAGCCUUUUGUGAAACCCUAGCAACCAAGAGUGCUUCCUAUAGUGUCCUGGAGAAGGCAGUAGUAUUGCAGCUUAGGAUAAAGGAAAGUGGUGGUGACGUUGGGGUAGGGAGAGAUGAGAUCGGGCUUUUAGCUGAAGAACUCCUUCAACUCUCAGUCAAAGGAUCGAUGGUGGUGCCGAGUGAGAAGUCUAAUCUGAUCUGCACAAUUUAGACUGAAAAAUUGUAUAAUCAAUAUAGUUUGAAAGCACAAAUGAGGAGUAUAUGGAAUACAAGAAAGAAAUUUGAGUUUCAGACGGUAGGGCAGAAUUUGUUCUUAACUGAAUUUGAUCUUGAAGAGGAUCUGGAGACAAUAAUGGAGGGGAGACCAUGGCUUUUCAUUAAGAGUCUUAUUUUAUUUAAUAGGUUAUCUUAACCAGUAGAAAGAACUAAGAUUUGGCUUAUUUCUUCUCUUUUUUGGUUGAAAAUAGGGGCGUGUUUACCAGAGUACGACAAAAAAGAUCUGUUGCAUGCAAUUGGAGUCAAAUUUGGAGGUUUAAUAAGAUCCGAGAUCAAUGGUGAGGUGUGUCGUCUUAGGAUCAAUUUAAAUGUACAGAAGUCGCUUCGACGAGGUAUUUUUGUCUCAAUUAAUAAUAUGACUAAGUCAUGGAUCCCUUUUAAGUAUGAAAGUUUACCAAUGUUUUGCUUUGGUUGUGGACGAAUGGGGCAUAGCUUUAAAAAAUGCUCAGUGCUAACUCCAACAGAAAUAAGUAAAAUAGGUGAUGAUUCACCUUACACACUAGCUUCGAAAGCAGAAUCUAAUUUAAUUGGGAAGGAAUGUGUGAAAUUUAGAGCGAUUUUAAAGAGAGAAGGGGCUCAAUGCUCGUAUAUAGGAGAGGAAGAAUCGGUUCUAAGAAGGGCAGUACGCAUAAAGAAGGAAUAAAUAUGAAUGGGAUGCAAAUAACGAAGCUCAAUGGAAAUGGUAAAAAGGACGAUAUGGAAUAAGAGGACACAUCAAUAGCUAAGGAUGAUGACCAGCUGGUGGACAAUAAAUAUCAGUCGGGUAAUGAAUCAUGCUCAUCUAAAAAGAAAGGAUGGAGAAGAAUCGGUCCAAUGGCUACUUUGAUAUAAAGCAGGGAGGUUAAUAAUAAGAGGAAAAGGAAAUUUAUGGAGGAAGAAUGUGUAGUCUGGUGUUUGGAUGGUGGACAAGCAGAGGGAGUUAAAAGAGCGAGAUGGGAGAGUUUAGAGGAAGGUGGGGAAGUCUGGCCUCAAGUAAUGAAUGAGAUCACGGAGGAGAAUAAUCUUUCUGAAUGCACAAAAUCGACGGCUGCCAACUGGCAAGCCGACCGGAAGCCAUGAAACACAUUAGUUGGAAUGUCCGUGAGAUUGGGGAAUCCACGGAUAAUAAGAAGGUUGCGAUAUUUUCUAAAGUAGCAUAAUCCCCAUAUAGUCUUCUUAAUGGAGACAAAAAUUAACAAGCAACGCUUGGAGAUGGUCAGGAGAGGUUAGGGUUUUUUUAAUGGUAUCAUGUUGAAGCGGAAGGUUCGAGAGGUGGAUUAAGUCUAGCGUGGAAAGGUGAUAUUGCAGUUACUUUGAGGAGUUUUUCUAAACAUCAUAUUGAUGUCAUGGUUAAGAAGGACGAUGACAAAGAAGAAUGGAGAUUGACAGGUUUCUAUGGCUCACCUUAUGUUCAAGAUAAGAGUGUUUCUUAGGACUUACUAAGGAAACUAGGACAAGAUAAAAAUCAUCCAUGGUUAGUAUGUGGAGAUUUCAACGAAAUAUUGUACUCGUUUGAAAAAAGAAGAGGGGUACCAAGGGAGGAGCGAAGAAUGAAGGUUUUUCGGGAAACUUUAGAAGUGUGCCAACUAGUAGAUUUGGGAUUUAAGGGAACUUGGUAUACAUGGGAAAGAAGGAAUUUGCCAAAAACUAAUAUAAGAGAAAGACUUGAUAGAGAAGUUGUAAAUGAUAAAUAAAUGCAUAUCUUUCCAACAGGUAAUAUUUGACAUUUACCUCAUUCAAUAUCGAAUCAUUAUCCACUCCUUUUAAAUACAAAAGGGGAAAUAAGUAUAUGGGAAUUCCAAGAUUUAAAUUUGAAGUAUGGUAGACUCUAGAAGAGACAAUGGAAGUAGUAGUUAAAGAUUCAUGGGAAUCAACCAGGGGUACAAUAGUGGAGAAGUUGGAACGGCUACAAAUAGACCUGAAAGAUUGGGAGUGAACAAUUAAAGAAGGGAGGGACGGAUUAAAGAAAAAUCUUACAAGGGAUCUUGAGAUGAUGUUGGCGGAGGAACAAAGUGACGAAAUGAUUGCCAAAAUUAUAGAUACAAAAAUUUCUCUUAAUUUAGGAAUUAACAAAGAUGAGAUUUAUUGGGAAUAAAGGGCAAGAGCAAACUGGCUUCAAACAGGUGAUAAGAAUUCAGCCUUUUUUCAUAGAUUUGCUUCUUAUCGUCGACGAGUGAAUAUAAUCAAUGUGUUGGAGACAGAGGAGGGAGGAGAGGCUACAGAUUCUAACAAGAUUAGUGAAGUGGCUACUCUAUUUUCUAAAAGCUAUUCAAGACAAAUGGUGUCGGAGAUUCAUCUCAUCUUUUAACAGGCAUUGAAAGUAGGGUUUCAACAGAGGUCAAUGAUGCUCUAUUAUCAACUUUUACAGAAGAGAAAGUGUAUUCGGCAUUGAAAGAUAUGGGGCCUACUAAAGCCCCAGGACCGGAUAGUUUUCCAGCACCAUUCUUUCAAAAAUACUGGCACAUAGUAGGUAAAGAUGUCACUAAUUUUUGUUUGGGAAUUUUAAAUAAAAGUCAAAAUUUUGGCUCUCUUGAUCAAACAGAUAUCGUGUUGAUCCCAAAAACUCAAAAUCCUACAAGUCUAAUCAAUUUUAAACCUAUCAGUUUGUGUUCAGUUCUUUGCAAAAUAGUGGCAAAGGCAAUAGCUAACAGAUUUCAAGGAGUAAUUGGUAGGUGUAUUAAUGAGGCACAAAGUGCUUUUAUACCGGGAAGGUUAAUAUCUAAUAAUGUGAUGGCCUAUGAGAUAUUACAUUCUAUUCAGCAAAAGCGAACAAGACUGAAGGGAUACAUGGCGGUUAAACUUGAUAUGAGCAAAGCAUAUGAUAGAGUUGAAUGGAGUUUUCUUCAGGAUAUCAUGUUGCAAAUGGGUUUAGCCAAUAAAUGGGUGGAAUUGAUUAUGAAGUGUAUUUCCACAACAUCUUUUGCGGUUAAUAUAAAUGGGAGUAGAGGAAGAACUUUUCAAUCAUCUCGAGGUCUACGUCAAGGAGAUCCACUAAGCCCUUUUCUUUUUCUUGUAUACAGUGAGGGCCUCUCAUCGUUGAUGAGAUUGGCAAUUAAAAAAGAUGUGGUAAAAGGUGCAAAGGCUAGUAGGAGAGGACCAGUAAUAUCACAUUUGCUUUUCGCAGAUGAUUGUAUAUUGUUUGGUGAGGCAUCAGAUAAGGGAGCGACAACACUAAAGGGUAUUCUGAAGGAGUACGAGAAAUGCUUAGGUCAAUGUGUAAAUUUCAAUAAAUCCACUAUUUUUUACAGUUCGAAUACUCCAAAAAGGAGGAAAGCUGAAGUCUCGACAAUAUUAGGGGUACGAAGCUCUACAAAUCUAGAGAAAUAUCUCGGUCUUCCCAAUGUGGUUAGUAGGAGGAAAAAAGAGUCAUUUCAAAACCUUAAAGAGAAAGUUCAUUCAAGAAUCCAUGGGUGGAGUACUAGAUUUUUAUCACAAGGAGGUAAGGAAGUUUUUAUAAAAUCAAUACUUCAGGCUAUCCCAACUUAUGCGAUGUCAUGUUUCCUUCUUUCAGCUUCUUUUUGUAAAGAAUUAGAAAGCAGUUUUGCUAAACUUUGGUGGCAGAAAGCAUAGGGCAAAAGAGGAAUUCAUUGGUGUCAAUGGAAAAAUUUGUGUCUUUCUAAAGAAGAGGGUGGAAUGGGAUUUCAAAGUAUGGCAAAAUUCAAUAUCGCUUUGCUUGCAAAACAAGGUUGACGAAUUCUAAACAAUCCAGAUUCUUUAGUAACACAAGUUCUCAAAGGAAAAUAUUUCCCGAAUGAUAGCUUUUUAAAGGUGCAGUUGAAGAAUAAUGUUUCAUACAUAUGGAAGAGUAUAUGGGUCGCUCGGAGUACUGUUGAAAUGGGAUUAUGUUGGAAGGUAGGUAGGGGCUCGAAUAUUUUAGUACUUAAUGAUGUGUGGGUACUAGAAUUGAAAAAUAUCAGAUUAACGUCUUUAGUUACUGAUAUGAGUGAUUUUAGAGUUGCUGAGCUGAUUGAUAUUAAUAGCAGAUCAUGGAAAAAAGAGCUGAUAGAAGUUACCUUUCCAGAGGAAGUAGUAGAGAAGAUCCUUCAGACAUCGUUGGUAAAAGAACCCCAUGAAGAUUUUCGAGCCUGAAGUGGUGAACCCUCGGGAAAGUUUACAGUGCGCAGUACCUAUAAACUAUUACAAAACAUAGAAGAAGAGCCUAGAGCUUACGCUUUACAAAACGACUACAAUAAAUUUUACAAAAAGCUAUGGAGUACAAAUAUUCCCUCAAAGAUAAAAAUUACAGUCUGGAAAAUUUCAAAAAUUUUCUUAGCUACAAGGGCCAAUAUGUAUCAACGGAGAGUUUUAAAUAUCAUAGAAUGCCCUCGAUAUGGACGAGGAUCAGAAAGUAUGGACCACCUAUUCGGAGAAUGUUCAAUUUCAGUAACAGCAUGUCAAGAAUUAUCAUAUCAGUAUGUGUUACAAUAACCGAACCUGGAGUUCGCACAGUGGCUCAUUUGGGUGUUUUUGCAGAGUUCUCCAUCUCAGAGUAAGGUUGUCUGCUGUGUAUUAUGGGCAAUUUGGGGUGACAGAAAUAACAGGAUUCACAAGAAGACCAACAAAACUGGAAACGAAAUAGCAUGUUUUGUACAAAGUUACAUCUCAGAGCUAAGUGCGAUAGAACAAAAAAAGACAGGAAAAUGCAAAGUUAUUAGUAAAUAGAAGCCUCCACCUGUAAAGGUCGUGAAGAUCAACUUCGAUGCAGCUUUUGAUGAAAGAUCUCGGCAAUUGUCAAGGGGAUUAGUAGCCAGGAACAGUAAGGGCAGGGUUCUGGUUUCGUGCUCGGAGAUCACGAGUGAGUUGCAUCGGCUUUUGCUGCUGAGGCUCUCACAUGUCGCACAGCAGUUCGACUCGGUAUUAACAUGCAAUAGACAUCAGUUAUCAUUGAGGGUGAUUCAUUAGCAAUAAUAAAGAAGUGCAAGUUGGAUAGUAUAGAUAAUUCACAGAUAGGGGCUUAUAUCUACGACAUUUAGAGGUCACUGUCAAUUUCCAAGAAUUUCAGAUUUGAGUUCAUCCCACGAACAGCAAAUGAACUAGCACAUAGUAUAGCCACUGAAUCAAUGAAGGAAAAGAAAGAGUUUUACCUGAUAGGAUGGGUUCCUAAAUUCGCUGAGAAACAUGCUGACAAAGAGAGGGUGCGAGAACUAGACUGAACACGAAGGUCAGAUGAAACCCUGGAGAGCGUUUGAAAUGGAAAUAAAAAGACAAGGAGAAUACAACUCUCUGUGGAAAUCUGGAUAGGGUUUUGCAGAAAGGAUGAGGAAAAUGUAAGAAUGAAGGCAAAAUGUGAAAUGGAGAGAAGAGAUUAGUAAUCAAUAGCUUCAGUGGAAGAGCUCUCCUUGGAAAUCUGGAAGAGUCAUGAAGAAGAAACGACAGACGAUUAGAUGGGACGGGCAACAGAUUGCUUUUUCUGAUUGGGCAAUGAAACGGUGGUUUUUUAAUUAGGUUUUAGAAUAUACUAUUAUGUUUUAGGAG